rnacentral:sRNA from 1 species
GUUGAUCCCAUCUCCCAGGUACUGAGCAUAGUACUCAGUGGUUAGGUUUUCAGCCCUUCCCCUGCCCUCCUCUAGUAGCCCCAGUGUCUAUUGUCCCCUCUUUGUGUCCAUGAAUACCCAAUGUUGAGUGUCCACUGUCACAUCAGACCAUGCGGUGUUUGCUUUUCUGUGUCUGCGUUAAUUCGCUGAGGACGAUGGCCCGCAGCUGCAUCCGUUGCUGCAGAGGACGUGAUUUUGCACUUUUCUAUGGCUGGGCCCACUGUCUUUAACAUCAAGUUUGUGUUUCUUAUCACAGCUCUGGGUGCUUUACCCAGCAGCCUCCCCCAUGCCCACUCCGCAGCCUGGACGCUGGUGCCGGGGCCUCCAGCCCAGCAGCACAGCACUCUCCUGUGGACCUUUUCAGAUACGGCUGGUGUGGAGCCAUGCCCAGGGCCUCAGCCAGCGGGUCCUGCUGCCCCUGUGGGGAGGACGCCGCCUGUCCUCUCUGCUUUCACAACAGCCUCUUCCUUCGGGUCUGGCUCUGGCGUCACCUCCUCCAGGGAGCUGCCCCUGCGCCUGGGCUGUGCCCCAUCCUCUGACUUGGCACCGCCUGGCCCUUGCUGCGGCGCUAGUCUGGGCCGCCUCCUCUCCACGGUUUCACCCGUUACGGGGCUCCUGAGGACGGGAACCAGGCUUUGUUCGGAAUCCUGGUACAGGCUCUGUGCCACGGGGUCCUUAGAAUAUGUGUGUGUGAUGGGGAAGGCGCAGGGCGUGUCUUAGGCACACUCCAUGGUCCCCUCCACCCUUCACACCUGGCCCAGAGCUGGUCGUGCCAUGGGGGCCCUCAGGAGCCACCGCUGGGUUUCCCUCCUGAGUUUAGGGUUCAGUCCCAGGACUGAACCAGGAGACGGUGCCAUCCCCGCCAUCCUCCACAGAAGUGUCAGGAGCAGGGACCACCUGUCAUUCUCCUACCCUGCCUACACAGGCUGACGGCCCUUCUGCAACGCCCUUUUUACAGGAUGUCCUUACGGACCUGUCAGCGGAGAGCGAGGUGCUGGAUGUGGAGUGUGAGGUGCAGGACCGCCUGGCACACAAGGGUAUUUCUCAAGCUGCCAGAUACGUUUACCGACGACUCAUCAACGACGGGAUUUUGAGCCAAGCCUUCAGCAUUGCUCCUGAGUACCGGCUGGUCAUCGUGGGCCACAGCCUCGGGGGCGGGGCGGCCGCCCUGCUGGCCACCAUGCUCAGAGCCGCCUACCCGCAGGUCAGGUGCUACGCCUUCUCCCCGCCCCGGGGGCUGUGGAGCAAAGCUCUGCAUGAAUACUCUCAGAGCUUCAUCGUGUCGCUCGUCCUGGGGAAGGAUGUGAUUCCCAGGCUCAGUGUGACCAACUUGGAAGAUCUGAAGAGAAGAAUCUUGCGAGUGGUCGCGCACUGCAAUAAACCCAAGUACAAGAUCUUGCUGCACGGUUUGUGGUACGAACUGUUCGGAGGAAACCCCAACAACUUUCCCACGGAGCUGGACGGGGGCGACCAGGAAGUCCUGACACAGCCUCUUCUGGGGGAGCAGAGCCUACUGACACGCUGGUCCCCGGCCUACAGCUUCUCCAGCGACUCCCCACUGGACUCUUCUCCCAAGUACCCCCCUCUCUACCCUCCCGGCAGGAUCAUCCACCUGCAGGAGGAGGGCGCCUCGGGGCGGUUUGGCUGCUGCUCUGCUGCUCACUAUAGCGCCAAGUGGUCACACGAAGCGGAAUUCAGCAAAAUACUCAUAGGCCCGAAGAUGCUCACAGACCACAUGCCAGACAUCCUGAUGCGGGCCUUGGACAGCUUGGUCUCCGACAGAGCGGCCUGCGUCUCCUGUCCAGCACAGGGGGUCUCCGGUGUGGACGUGGCCUGACCAGGUCCACUGGAAACUGUCCCAGGAAGGAUGGACUCACGCUUUUGUCCUUAAACUGACUUACCAUCCGAGGAGUUCCCAUGACGCCGAAACAGCGGAUGUCCAUCAACAGGAAUCGGAUGGGAACAGAAUUCCAUGGUAUCAAUGACUAUCACGUUUAUGGGAAGUCAUUGUGGCCAUAAUCAUAGCAGAAGCAGCGAGCACGCUCAGGUGAUAGGAGGACUCCUGAGACCCAGCGACCGUGGAGACAGCCUCGGGAAGCCCUGGCCCGCGGAUGGAUCCCUUGGCUGUCUGAGGACUGCUCCAGAAGUGCGGGAAUCCAGGGCCCACCCAGAAGACAGUGAACAGAUCCUUAGCCUCGCACCCCCAAGGCAGCCCUUUUCAUCCAACUCGGUUUACAGGCGUGGUUUGUUUUUCAAACUGGGCUUCCUGGAUGUGCAGAUGGCACUGUUGUGAGGGUGCGGGCUGGGGGUUUCUCCUGGGCGUCACCAAGGGCAGCCCUGGGCUCUGGCUGGGGAUGAAGACGAAACCCGAUCGGGGAAGUGAGUGGAGCCCCCGGCCCCGCCGAGCCACAGCCCCCCAGCGCCUGUUCCCACCACCCAGUUGUUUGUGUCCGCAUCAAGAGUUGCUGAUUGAAUUCUUGCUACUCUUCUGCCUCUGGGAUUGGCCAGUAGAUUCAGGAGUUGAAACAAUAAAGCGCGCGUCACGAUAGUG